GAGUUUGAUCGUGGCUCAGAUUGAACGCUGGCGGCAUGCCUUACACAUGCAAGUCGAACGGCAGCAUGAUCUAGCUUGCUAGAUUGAUGGCGAGUGGCGAACGGGUGAGUAAUACAUCGGAACGUGCCCUGUAGUGGGGGAUAACUAGUCGAAAGAUUAGCUAAUACCGCAUACGACCUGAGGGUGAAAGUGGGGGACCGCAAGGCCUCAUGCUAUAGGAGCGGCCGAUGUCUGAUUAGCUAGUUGGUGGGGUAAGGGCCCACCAAGGCGACGAUCAGUAGCUGGUCUGAGAGGACGAUCAGCCACACUGGGACUGAGACACGGCCCAGACUCCUACGGGAGGCAGCAGUGGGGAAUUUUGGACAAUGGGCGAAAGCCUGAUCCAGCAAUGCCGCGUGUGUG
rnacentral:rRNA from 1 species